rnacentral:rRNA from 1 species
UACGAAGGGGGCUAGCGUUGUUCGGAUUUACUGGGCGUAAAGCGCGCGUAGGCGGACCUGCAAGUCGGGGGUGAAAGCCCGAGGCUCAACCUCGGAACUGCCUUCGAUACUGCGGGUCUCGAGUUCGGGAGAGGUGAGUGGAAUUCCUAGUGUAGAGGUGAAAUUCGUAGAUAUUAGGAAGAACACCAGUGGCGAAGGCGGCUCACUGGCCCGGUACUGACGCUGAGGCGCGAAAGCGUGGGGAGCAAACAGG